AAAUCAAUUACUAUUUAGCAAUUGAUUUAAGAAUCAAUUAUUAAAUUAAAUAAUUAUUUUAAUUAAUUCUAAAAUUUAAAAUCGAUCGUUAGUAGCAAUCAAUUUGUGAAUCGGUUAGUAAAAUUAGUUAUUAUUAACAACCCAUUGGCGAAUCGAUUAUUACAUUUAGAAAUUUUUUGAAAAGGCUCUAAAUUUGCAAUCGAUUUCUUGCCAAUUGCUAUUAGAAAUCAAUUGUAGAUCG
rnacentral:misc_RNA from 1 species